rnacentral:sRNA from 1 species
GCCAGGUGCAGUGGCACACAUCUGUAAUUCCAGCAACAGGGAGGCAGAGGCAAGAGCUUCACAAAGUUGAGGCUAGCCUCAGCGACUAAGUGAGAUCCUGUCUCAA